AGAAUUGGGUAGGUUCGGGAGCCCAAUUUGCGGUUGUAUUGGGCCAAUGGCCCUAGUCCACAAGUAUCUUCUUCUCUCCCGGUCGCCGCCGCCGCCAACACGUUUCAUUGCUAGUAUAAGAACGCCUACUUCACUUCAAACAUCGCCACUCAUGGCCUUCAUAAAACCAAGCGCACGCUUCCGCCACUCACUCUCACCCCUCCUAUCCCCCACUUUCAAGCCAUAUUCUUCUUCAGCUUCGGCCUUAGUUCCCGAACUUGAUAUUCAACCCGACACUCCCCAGAACCCUAAUCUCUCCCCCGAAGAAACAACCUUAGCCGACAAGUUCCACGCCGCAAUUAAAGAGCACCACCGCAGAAACCCCACACCCAACCCUAACGCCCCUCCCCCAACUCCCAACCUCACCAUCCCCGACCUCUCCCUCGCCUUUUCCGCUAUCUCCGCCGCCCACCCAAUCUCCCCCUCCGUCGCCCACCGCGUCAUCGAGAAAUGCGGCGGCGUCCGCCACGGCAUCCCCUUCCUCCAAUCCCUUGCCUUCUUCAACUGGUCCUCCUCUCUCGACGGCUUCCCCGCCUCGCCGGAGCCCUACAACGAGAUGCUCGACCUCGCCGGAAAGUUGAGACAAUUCGACCUAGCCUGGCACGUCAUCGAUCUCAUGAAGUCUCGCGGCGUCGAAAUCACCGUCCACACGUUCUCCGCCCUCGUCCGCCGCUACGUGAGGGCCGGAUUGGCUGCUGAGGCAGUGCACGCGUUUAACCGUAUGGAGGACUAUGGCUGCACCCCUGAUAUGGUUGCAUUUUCAAUUGUAAUUAGUAGCUUAUGUAAGAAAAGAAGAGCAAAUGAGGCUCAAUCGUUUUUUGAUAGUCUUAAGCAUAGGUUUGAGCCUGAUGUUGUGGUUUACACUAGCUUGGUUCAUGGGUGGUGUCGUGCUGGUGACAUAUCUAAGGCUGAAGAGGUGUUUAGUGAUAUGAAGAUGGCUGGAAUUAAACCUAAUGUUUACACUUAUAGCAUUGUGAUUGAUUCGUUGUGCCGGUGCGGGCAAAUUACGCGUGCUCAUGAUGUUUUCUCGGAGAUGAUCGAUGCAGGGUGUGAUCCAAAUGCGGUUACUUUCAAUAGUUUGAUGCGGGUUCAUGUGAAGGCUGGGAGGACUGAGAAGGUUUUGCAGGUUUACAAUCAGAUGAAGAGGCUUGGUUGUCCUGCUGAUACCAUUAGCUAUAAUUUCAUCAUUGAGAGUCAUUGUAGGGAUGAGAAUCUCGAAGAGGCUGCGAAGAUUCUCAAUUUGAUGGUCAAGAAAGGGGUUGCUCCCAAUGCGUCCACUUUCAAUUUUAUUUUUGGAUGCAUAGCUAAGUUACAUGACGUGAAUGGUGCGCAUCGGAUGUAUGCUAGAAUGAAGGAGCUGAACUGCCAGCCCAAUACGUUGACUUAUAAUAUUUUGAUGAGGAUGUUUGCUGAGUCAAGGUCUACUGAUAUGGUUCUGAAAAUGAAGAAGGAAAUGGAUGAGAGUCAGGUUGAACCUAAUGUGAAUACUUACCGAAUUUUGAUUUCCAUGUUUUGUGAUAUGAAGCACUGGAACAAUGCGUACAAGUUAAUGAUGGAGAUGGUUGAAGAAAAAUGCCUAAGACCAAACCUGUCAGUUUAUGAAACGGUUCUGGAGCUGCUGAGAAAGGCUGGACAGUUGAAAAAACAUGAAGAGUUGGUGGAUAAGAUGGUUGCGAGGGGGUUUGUCACUCGUCCUUUGUAGAAGUUGCUUUAUCCUUCACAUCACAUCUUUGAGGUGAAUAAGAGAACUUCUAUGUAUGACUAUAAAAUGGUGGUAUUGCUUGUUAAUUGCUACAAUUGAGACAAAACAACGGUUUUUUACUACCCCACCCCCAAAAAAUAGCUGCCUUAUUAUUAUUAUUAUAUUUUUUUUCAUUAUGAUGCUCUAGCCUCGAAUUGUUAUUUAUGUCCUAGUGUAGUAUGGUGGUUUAGCUGAUUAAGAUCAUGGAUGGAGUUCUUUUCCAUUUGACUUGAAUUUGGAUAGUUGAUAGCCAUGAUUUAUAAUUUGGUUUAUGGCCGAAAUUUUAGGUGUUCAUGAAGGAAAUGGCACAAGUUGUUUGAAGCAUUUCAUUGAACCUGUAAUUGAUAAAUGCUGUUCUUGUCGCUGGGAAGGAUACUCAUUCUCUAAUUAUUGCAAGUUUGUCACAUUUUGUAAGAAUGAAAUGCUGUAUGCUAGGCAAAUGUGUUCCUGUUGUUCGUGGAGUUGCUAACAACUUACGGCAUGUUCAAAAGAGACUGAGAUGCUCUUACAAGUGGGAGGCGGUCUAUGGAUACCUCUCUCUCGAGACUUGCAUCAACAGCAUUUUUUGUACUGCCCGUGAAUAGGAAUAUCUAUACAGACAUCAAGAAACUAGAGAAGAGAGACAGGUGUUGAUAUGAUUAGUGAUGUGAUGUAAUGAAGAGAAAAAUAGGGAGAAAUGAAGCGGGUCAAUUAUAUAUUUGGAUUGUUUAAGUGUUCAUAAAUCAGCACUCCUAAGAAUUCUGUUAUUCUGUAUGGUAAUUGCGUUGUGUAUCGUCUGAUCAUAUUUUUGAGAUGUUA